AUGCCAGCAACCUCCAUGUCAACGUGUCUGGUGCAGAACUAGUGGAUCCCUCAGCCCAGUUCGAGAGAGAAAGGCUACCCUUAAAAGUUAUACAGGCCAAAGGGCUCUCUGCCUCCAUGCCCAGCGCACACAUGGUGCUGAUCCAAUGGGAUCUAUGAGCUGAGCCCAAGGUGAUGGUAGGGCUAAGCUGAGCUUAGAAGGAGAGCCUUAAAGAUAACUAAGGAAGUAAAAGAAACUCCUCUUUCUAUUGAAUCACAGGGACAUGUGAGAGCCAAGGCAAAGCCCCAUAGACACUGACUGGCAAGGAGGGAGAAGAGGAGGUCCACUGGGGAAAUGAGCUCCAGUGGGGAGCAACAUGGAGGGGGAAGAGGCUGAACCUCAAAGUCCCUCUGGUGAGAGCCUCUGCCUGUGAGGUGCACUGGCUGGCUGGUGUCCUGAGACAAAGGAUUCCCACUUAGGACUGGCUGCUUAAGGUAAAAGCAUUGUUGCCUUCACCAUCACCGUCACUCACUUUGUAGAAAAGUGUAUAUGAGGGUGCCUGGGUGGCUCAGAGGUUCAGCGUCUGCCUUCAUUAGGCUCAGGAUGUGAUCCCAGAGUCCUGGGAUCGAGUUCCACAUCCGGCCCCCUGCAGGGAGCCUGCCUCUCCCUCUGCCUGUGUCUCUGCCUCUGUGUGUGUGUCUCUCUCAUGAAUAAAUAAAUAAAAUCUUUUUUAAAAAAAGUGUAUAUGAAAUAAAAUGCAUAAAAUUGGAGCCACAGUACAAGAGUGCUAAUGGAAAU
rnacentral:lncRNA from 1 species